CGGAUUAGAGCCAGGUGGUUAGGCGCCUCGUUUGGGUCGAGGAAUAGUUAUGUUCGAAUCGUAAUAAUCCGA
rnacentral:tRNA from 1 species